GGACCUUUAGCUCAGUCGGUUAGAGCAACCGGCUCAUAACCGGUCGGUCCUGGGUUCGAGUCCCCGAAGGUCCA
rnacentral:tRNA from 1 species